rnacentral:rRNA from 1 species
AACACAUGCAAGUCGAACGAAUAAGAGCCCAAGCUUGCUUGGGAGUUCUGUUAGUGGCAUACGGGUGAGUAACGCGUGGGAAUCUGCCCAGUAGUACGGAAUAACAGUUGGAAACGACUGCUAAUACCGUAUACGCCCUCCGGGGGAAAGAUUUAUUGCUAUUGGAUGAGCCCGCGUUAGAUUAGCUAGUUGGUAAGGUAAUGGCUUACCAAGGCUACGAUCUAUAGCUGGUCUGAGAGGAUGACCAGCCACACUGGGACUGAGACACGGCCCAGACUCCUACGGGAGGCAGCAGUGGGGAAUAUUGGACAAUGGGCGAAAGCCUGAUCCAGCAAUGCCGCGUGAAUGAUGAAGGCCUUAGGGUUGUAAAGUUCUUUCAGUAGGGAAGAUAAUGACGGUACCUACAGAAGAAGCUCCGGCUAACUUCGUGCCAGCAGCCGCGGUAA